UACGGGAGGCAGCAGUGGGGAAUAUUGCACAAUGGGCGAAAGCCUGAUGCAGCUAUGCCGCGUGUAUGAAGAAGGCCUUAGGGUUGUAAAGUACUUUCAUCGGGGAGGAAAAAACAAAACUAAUAAUUUUAUUUCUUGACGUUACCCGAAAAAGAAGCACCGGCUAACUCCGUGCCAGCAGCCGCGGUAAUACGGAGGGUGCUAGCGUUAAUCAGAAUUACUGGGCGUAAAGAGCACGUAGGUGGUUUUUUUAAGUCAGAUGUGAAUCCCUGGGCUUAACCUAGGAACUGCAUUUUGAAACUGAAAUACUAGAGUAUCGUAGAGGGAGGUAGAAUUCUAGGUGUAGCGGUGAAAUGCGUAGAUAUCUGGAGGAAUACCUGUGGCGAAAGCGGCCUCCUAAACGAAUACUGACACUGAGGUGCGAAAGCGUGGGGAGCAAACGAGGAUUAGACUACC
rnacentral:rRNA from 1 species